GCCGGAGUGGCGAAAUGGCAGCCGCAGGGGACUUAAAAUCCCCCGACUCUCACGGGUCAUGCUGGUUCGAGUCCAGCCUCCGGCACCA
rnacentral:tRNA from 1 species